AAAAAAUUACACUACUUGAAAUAAAAAAAAAAACCCGAAAAAAAACAGAAUAAAAAAACCGAAAAAAAAAUAAAGUUAAAAAAAGAUAAUGGACAAACUUGCGUACAGAAAAUAGUUGAGGGUGUAAAGUGAAUAUCAUGGGCGGCUCUUUAGGUGUGCGGGGAAGACUUUCGCACAAGGCCCGUUUUUUCGAGGGGCACGAGAUUUUUUUAAAAAAUUCGAUAUAUAUAUGUUAUUUAAAAAAAAAUUGUAUACACAUAACAAAUCCAAUAUAGAGGCCUAUUAUCAAAAGAUUUGUACUUUUUAUAAGUUAUCCAACUUAACAAUAGUUUUAUUGGGCCCAAUUCAAUACUAAAAUGAUUAAAAAAACAAAAAUACGCAGCAGGAAACUAGGAAACUGGACGGACGAAGCAGAAAAAUCGAACGGCAGGACUGCAGGAAAAUCGAACGACGAUUCGGAAAUACGCGGCAGAAAAUUGGCGAUUCAGUGAAACACGUUGAAGAUCAGUUAUUGCGGUUCUGAACUUUGAUGAACUUUGAUAGCAUAAAUAUAUUUGAGUAUAUGUGUAUUGGAAUUUGGAAGAUAUACCAUGUAAUAUACUUGUUCGAUUCCAGAAACAAAAGUCCAAGAGAAACAAUACCCUAUAUCAUCAUAUUCAUAUUUAUAGAACUGUUCGUAAGUUCGUAAAUAUGGGUUGGCGAUGAUAGCUAUCGAGAACGAAGUCUUAGAUAAUAUAAAUUGUGAAGAGUUAAUCCAACAAUUUGCUAUGAAGAUUGCAAGAAGGGCUGCACGAAUCAUUGGUUAGCUAUUAACUUAUUAUUUUUUACGGUAUGUAACUCAUUAGAAUACUAUGAUUUUGUCAUUAUUGUAAUUGCAUUGUUUAUCAAAUACUACAAUUUUUGGUAUUUUCGUAAUUAUGUUGUUUAUCGUUAAA